rnacentral:rRNA from 2 species
ACUGAUUUCCACCUUCAAGCGAGUGGCGAACUGGUGAGUAACACGUGGGAAAUCUGCCCAGAAGCAGGGGAUAACACUUGGAAACAGGUGCUAAUACCGUAUAACAACAAAAUCCGCAUGGAUUUUGUUUGAAAGGUGGCUUCCGCUAUCACGUCUGGAUGAUCCCGCGGCGUAUUAGUUAGUUGGUGAGGUAAAGGCCCACCAAGACGAUGAUACGUAGCCGACCUGAGAGGGUAAUCGGCCACAUUGGGACUGAGACACGGCCCAAACUCCUACGGGAGGCAGCAGUAGGGAAUCUUCCACAAUGGACGAAAGUCUGAUGGAGCAAUGCCGCGUGAGUGAAGAAGGGUUUCGGCUCGUAAAACUCUGUUGUUAAAGAAGAACACCUUUGAGAGUAACUGUUCAAGGGUUGACGGUAUUUAACCAGAAAGCCACGGCUAACUACGUGCCAGCAGCCGCGGUAAUACGUAGGUGGCAAGCGUUGUCCGGAUUUAUUGGGCGUAAAGCGAGCGCAGGCGGUUUUUUAAGUCUGAUGUGAAAGCCUUCGGCUUAACCGGAGAAGUGCAUCGGAAACUGGGAGACUUGAGUGCAGAAGAGGACAGUGGAACUCCAUGUGUAGCGGUGGAAUGCGUAGAUAUAUGGAAGAACACCAGUGGCGAAGGCGGCUGUCUAGUCUGUAACUGACGCUGAGGCUCGAAAGCAUGGGUAGCGAACAGGAUUAGAUACCCUGGUAGUCCAUGCCGUAAACGAUGAGUGCUAAGUGUUGGAGGGUUUCCGCCCUUCAGUGCUGCAGCUAACGCAUUAAGCACUCCGCCUGGGGAGUACGACCGCAAGGUUGAAACUCAAAGGAAUUGACGGGGGCCCGCACAAGCGGUGGAGCAUGUGGUUUAAUUCGAAGCUACGCCAAGAACCUUACCAGGUCUUGACAUCUUCUGCCAAUCUUAAAGAUAAGACGUUCCCU